AUUAUUGUAGCUCAGGUGGUUAGAGCACUGCACCAGAACCGCAGGUUCGAUUCCUGCCAGGGACC